GGGCCCGCACAAGCGGUGGAGCAUGUGGUUUAAUUCGAUGAUACGCGAGGAACCUUACCAGGGCUUAAAUGUAGUGGGACAGGUCUAGAGAUAGACCCUUCUUCGGACUCAUUACAAGGUGCUGCAUGGUUGUCGUCAGCUCGUGCCGUGAGGUGUCAGGUUAAGUCCUAUAACGAGCGCAACCCCUAUCGUUAGUUGCCAGCGAGUAAUGUCGGGAACUCUAACGAAACUGCCAGUGCAAACUGUGAGGAAGGUGGGGAUGACGUCAAAUCAUCACGGCCCUUACGUCCUGGGCUACACACGUGCUACAAUGGCCGGUACAGAGAGCAGCCACUUCGCAAGAAGGAGCGAAUCUUCAAAGCCGAUCGUAGUCCGGAUUGCAGUCUGCAACUCGACUGCAUGAAGCUGGAAUC
rnacentral:rRNA from 1 species